AUUGAACGCUGGCGGCAUGCUUUACACAUGCAAGUCGAACGGUAACAGGUUAAGCUGACGAGUGGCGAACGGGUGAGUAAUGCAUCGGAACGUGCCCGAUCGUGGGGGAUAACACUUCGAAAGAAGUGCUAAUACCGCAUACGAUCUGAGGAUGAAAGCGGGGGACCGUAAGGCCUCGCGCGAUCGGAGCGGCCGAUGUCAGAUUAGGUAGUUGGUGGGGUAAAGGCUCACCAAGCCGACGAUCUGUAGCUGGUCUGAGAGGACGACCAGCCACACUGGGACUGAGACACGGCCCAGACUCCUACGGGAGGCAGCAGUGGGGAAUUUUGGACAAUGGGCGCAAGCCUGAUCCAGCAAUGCCGCGUGCAGGAAGAAGGCCUUCGGGUUGUAAACUGCUUUUGUACGGAGCGAAAAGGCUCUCUCUAAUACAGGGGGCUCAUGACGGUACCGUAAGAAUAAGCACCGGCUAACUACGUGCCAGCCGCCGCGGUAAAAC
rnacentral:rRNA from 1 species